CCCAUCAUUUGGGUCGGAUUUGGUGGAUUUCAUUUGCGAAUUCCGGAAUAUACUUGUUUGGCUGCCACAGAAUUGAGGGUGGAUUUCAUUCUAAGAUUCCAGAGGAUGUAAACUUGGCCUAGGCCCAAAUCCCAGCCCCUCGCCCGUCAUUCUCCCGGAUUCCACUCGCUCGCUUCCCCCACCCUACCCCGACGCCUUCGUCUCUCGCCUCCUUCCCCCACCCUACCCCGACGCCCGCCGCCGCCGCCGCCGCCAUGAACCCCACCUUCUCGGCCGCCGGUGAUGCACCCCCCUGCCGGUGAAUGGCUUCUCCCCGAGUUCUCUUCCCCCGUCCCCUCUACACGCGAAGCUUUCUGUUCGAUGGUGUGCUGCCUCCGGUGACCACAGCGCCGUCGUCGAGCUCUCAAAUCCUGCCACCCGAUCCGGACAGAAGAUCGACUUCUUGACGAUUCCUCCGCCAGCCCACGGUCGGUCAGCUCCACACCCCGGAAGAUCGACCUUUUUGUGAUGUCAGACUUGUACAUUAACACAUUGCAUGGCGAUGAGAGGAGAAAGAAAAGGAAGAGGGCAGCUGCUGGAUUUUUUGUGUCGGUUGUCGCGAUAGUUCAACACACGUAUUGUUAGAGGAAGAUUAGAGAGCUUGAUGAUUUCAGUGAGGAUGAGGCGGAGAUUAGGAUUAGAAAGCAGAUGCUUAGAUCAAUUUAUCAGGGUUCUAACAAGCACUGUUUUGAUAGUUUGCGCCUAACUAAACGGUCCUUUGUGGACCUGUGCGCUAUUUUGCGUGAAAGAUGUGGUUUGGGGGACACAUUUUAUGUGUCGGUUGAAGAAUCAGUCACAAUGUUUCUGCUAGUGCUAAGCCAUGGGAUGAAAUACCGGUUAAUUGAAAGCACGUAUAGAUGGGCACUCGAGACCAUCAGUAGGCAUUUCAAUGAGAUCUUAAGAGCUGUCCUUUCCUUGUCUCAUGAGUUUAUAAAGCUACCAACCCCUUCAGCUGAGCAGCCCGAGGAUAGUAGAUGGAAAUGGUUUCCAGAUGGGCUAGGAGCUUUAGAUGGCACACAUGUUGAUGUCCGUGUUUCCGCUCUCAAGCAAGGCAGAUACAGGAAUAGAAAGCAAGAUGUGACCACUAAUGUGCUUGGUGUUUGUGACCGGAAUAUGGAGUUUUUGUAUGUCUUAGCUGGAUGGGAAGGUUCUGCAUCUGAUUCACGAGUGUUGCGAGAUGCAAUGUCACGACAAGACGCUUUUAGAGUUCCACAUGGAAAAUACUACCUUGUAGAUGCUGGGUACACUAAUGGUCCGGGCUUCUUUGCUCCAUACCGGUCAGUCCGGUACCAUUUGAAAGAAUGGGCGGCUAAUGGAAAUAACCCACAAACUCCAAGAGAGUUAUAUAAUCUGCGACAUGCAUCAGCUAGGAAUGUGAUAGAGAGAACUUUUGGUCUACUAAAAAUGAGAUGGGCUAUUUUGGGGACUAGUUCAUUUUUUCGCAUACGGAAUCAGAUCCGUGUCAUUAAUGCUUGCUGCAUAUUGCAUAACUUUCUAAGAGAUAGGCAGAGAGAGAUGGAUGAUAUAAUGCUAAUUGACGUGGAUAAUCAGUUAAAUGCUGCUGCCAUCGAACAUCCUGAAGAACCAAACAUGAUUAGACAUGUUGAAUCAACAACUGAGUGGAACAACAAGCGAGAUACCUUAGCUAAUCAAAUGUGGGCAGAUUACCAAAGGAGACGCGGGGGAGCCAAUCAUUGAAUUCAUUCAUUUGAAGAUAUGGAUGUGGAGAAGAAAGGAGGUAGAAACUACCUUACCUGGAUGGAUGAAAUGGAUGAAGCAAUGCUGAAUGUGUUCGUGGAGCAUUACAAUAGAGGGGAUCGUGCUCAAAAUGGGUCGAAGCCACAUGUCUACACUGCAGUUGUCAAGAAUGUUCGAGCCAAGUGCAAUGUGGAUAUCACAAAGGAUAAUGUCAUAUCAAGGUGCAAGACUAUUGAUAGACACUAUGUCAAUGUCAGCAAGAUGUUGUCAACGAGUGGUUUUGGGUGGAAUUGGAUCCAUAACAAGCUUAUGGUUGAUAGUGAGGACGUGUGGAGAAACUAUGUCAAGGCAAACAAAGAUGCAGCAUGCUACAGGCACAAGGUCAUAAAGUUUUGGGACUCUAUCAGCCUUGUCUUCUCGAGGGAUCAUGCCACCGGAACGGGAGCCAGAACUGUUGGUGAAAGUGCAGCAGAAAUGGCUGCAGAGAAUGUCAACAACAUCAACACUGAUUCUGCCGCAACAUCUUCAACCCAAACCGGCGAGGAACAGAAGAGGAAAAGAUAUCGAUCGGAUGACUCAAUUGCAUCUAUGCUUGGAGAGAAAUUGGAUAAUUUUACCAGUGCCUACAAAGCUGAUAUCGCUCAAGUUGCUCCUCCUGAGAAACCCUCCUCUCCUGAAGAAAUACUUGACGCUCUCAAUGCAAUUGUGGGACUGGAUGAUGAUGGCUUGCUAGCAGCUUAUGAUUUCCUCAUAGCAGAUGAUCGCAAGUUCAAGGCUCUUAUGGCGCUGCCUGAAAGGAUGAAGAAGAAAUGGAUCCUCAAGCAAAUCAACCAAUGAAGGAAAUUUUGGGUGAAGUGUGAUGUUGAACGAACAGAACGAAGAAAUGAAGAUCCUUGAGCAAUGAAAAUCUUUCUUGGAUGGUGCUAAUAAUGCAAAGAUUCAGUUUUUAUGUAACCUUGACUAGAUUAUGAUCAUUUGAUGUUGUUGUGAACCUUUGUCGUAUUGCAAAGAUUAACUUUUUACAAAGUCUCAUGUUUAAGUUAUAUGUAUUGGCAUGGUUCAGUUUAAUGCAAAACAUUGCCAUGUGUGAACAAACGAGCUGUCAAUGUUGGUGUUGGUACAGAUUUGUUCAUACUAUUUAUU